rnacentral:rRNA from 1 species
UACGUAGGCAGCGAGCGUUGUUCGGAGUUACUGGGCGUAAAGCGUGCGUAGGCGGUGUCUUAAGUUUGUUGUGAAAUCUCCCGGCUUAACCGGGAGGGUGCGGCGAAUACUGAGAUGCUGGAGUGCCGGAGAGGUAAGCGGAAUUCCUGGUGUAGCGGUGAAAUGCGUAGAUAUCAGGAGGAACACCUGCGGUGUAGACGGCUUACUGGACGGUAACUGACGCUGGGGCACGAAAGCGUGGGUAGCAAACAGG